UUUCCGUAGGUGAACCUGCGGAAGGAUCAUUAAUGGGAAAUCAAAUCAAAACAAAUGUUCUGUUGCACUGGGUGUGCUGUGUGGUGGUGGUGUGAGACAUGGAGAUUCAAUCAUUGGAGAUUCAAUCAUUGGAGAUUCAAUCAUUAGAGAUUCGAUCAUUGGAGAUUCAAUCAUUCAAUCUCAAUCAUCGCCACACAACGCAACUAUCUAUCACACUCGAUCAACAACAACACACUCACACACAACAGCAAACAACUUUUAACAAUGGAUCUCUUGGCUCUU
rnacentral:misc_RNA from 1 species